rnacentral:rRNA from 1 species
UACGGGGGGAGCAAGCGUUGUUCGGAUUUACUGGGCGUAAAGGGCGCGUAGGCGGCCAGCGCAAGUCAGUUGUGAAAUCUCCGGGCUUAACUCGGAAAGGUCAACUGAUACUGCGCGGCUAGAGUGCAGAAGGGGCAACUGGAAUUCUCGGUGUAGCGGUGAAAUGCGUAGAUAUCGAGAGGAACACCUGCGGCGAAGGCGGGUUGCUGGGCUGAUACUGACGCUGAGGCGCGAAAGCCAGGGGAGCGAACGGG